CCUACGGGUGGCAGCAGUGAGGAAUAUUGGUCAAUGGGCGCGAGCCUGAACCAGCCAAGUAGCGUGAAGGAUGACUGCCCUACGGGUUGUAAACUUCUUUUAUAAAGGAGUAAAGUGAGGCACGUGUGCCUUUUUGCAUGUACCUUAUGAAUAAGGAUCGGCUAACUCCGUGCCAGCAGCCGCGGUAAUACGGAGGAUCCGAGCGUUAUCCGGAUUUAUUGGGUUUAAAGGGAGCGUAGAUGGGUUGUUAAGUCAGUUGUGAAAGUUUGCGGCUCAACCGUAAAAUUGCAGUUGAUACUGGCAGGCUUGAGUGCAGUAGAGGUAGGCGGAAUUCGUGGUGUAGCGGUGAAAUGCUUAGAGAUCACGAAGAACUCCGAUUGCGAAGGCAGCUUACUGAACUGCAACUGACGUUGAUGUUCGAAAGUGUGGGUAUCAAACAGGAUUAGAUACCCGUGUAGUC
rnacentral:rRNA from 1 species